rnacentral:rRNA from 1 species
GGGUGGUAAUACUGAAUGUUCCACAUGAUCGCAUGUGAUUGUGGGAAAGCUUUUUUGCGGUAUGGGAUGGGGUCGCGUCCUAUCAGCUUGACGGUGGGGUGAUGGCCUACCGUGGCUUUGACGGGUAGCCGGCCUGAGAGGGCGACCGGCCACAUUGGGACUGAGAUACGGCCCAGACUCCUACGGGAGGCAGCAGUGGGGAAUAUUGCACAAUGGGCGCAAGCCUGAUGCAGCGACGCCGCGUGAGGGAUGGAGGCCUUCGGGUUGUAAACCUCUUUUACAAGGGAGCAAGGCUUU